GGCAUGGCGCAGCUACACAUGCAGUCGAGCGGAUGAGAGGAGCUUGCUCCUUGAUUUAGCGGCGGACGGGUGAGUAAUGCCUAGGAAUCUGCCUGGUAGUGGGGGAUAACGUCCGGAAACGGGCGCUAAUACCGCAUACGUCCUACGGGAGAAAGCAGGGGACCUUCGGGCCUUGCGCUAUCAGAUGAGCCUAGGUCGGAUUAGCUAGUUGGUGAGGUAAUGGCUCACCAAGGCGACGAUCCGUAACUGGUCUGAGAGGAUGAUCAGUCACACUGGAACUGAGACACGGUCCAGACUCCUACGGGAGGCAGCAGUGGGGAAUAUUGGACAAUGGGCGAAAGCCUGAUCCAGCCAUGCCGCGUGUGUGAAGAAGGUCUUCGGAUUGUAAAGCACUUUAAGUUGGGAGGAAGGGCAGUAAGCUAAUACCUUGCUGUUUUGACGUUACCGACAGAAUAAGCACCGGCUAACUUCGUGCCAGCAGCCGCGGUAAUACGAAGGGUGCAAGCGUUAAUCGGAAUUACUGGGCGUAAAGCGCGCGUAGGUGGUUCGUUAAGUUGGAUGUGAAAGCCCCGGGCUCAACCUGGGAACUGCAUCCAAAACUGGCGAGCUAGAGUACGGUAGAGGGUGGUGGAAUUUCCUGUGUAGCGGUGAAAUGCGUAGAUAUAGGAAGGAACACCAGUGGCGAAGCGACCACCUGGACUGAUACUGACACUGAGGUGCGAAAGCGUGGGGAGCAAACAGGAUUAGAUACCCUGGUAGUCCACGCCGUAACGAUGUCAACUAGCCGUUGGGUCCUUGAGACUUAGUGGCGCAGCUAACGCAUAAGUUGACCGCCUGGGGAGUACGCCGCAAGUUAAACUCAAGAUGACGAUCACUAGUGCGGCGCCUGCAGUCGACAUAUGGGAAGCUCCAACGGUGAUGCUAGCUGGAAUUCUUAUGUCACUAAUAGCUGGCGUAUCAUGGCUAGCCGUUUCCUGAA
rnacentral:rRNA from 1 species